CAGCCGCCGCGGGAAUACGUAGGGUGCAAGCGUUAUCCGGAAUUAUUGGGCGUAAAGAGCUCGUAGGCGGUUUGUCACGUCUGCUGUGAAAACUGGAGGCUCAACCUCCAGCCUGCAGUGGGUACGGGCAGACUAGAGUGCGGUAGGGGAGAUUGGAAUUCCUGGUGUAGCGGUGGAAUGCGCAGAUAUCAGGAGGAACACCGAUGGCGAAGGCAGAUCUCUGGGCCGUAACUGACGCUGAGGAGCGAAAGCAUGGGGAGCGAACAGGAUUAGAUACCCCGGUAGUCCCUGUCUCUUAUAU
rnacentral:rRNA from 1 species